AUUUAGUCUGGUGCUUCAUUGCACAGGUACUGAGCGUCCACUGCAGAUAUAUAGAAGAGGAAGGCCUUGAAAAGGCUGAAACGCGUUGGAGUCAACUACAUACAGACAUUGGAGUUCUGCAGAAUCGCAUCUAAGCACCAGAGACAGCGAUCGCUAGACCAACAAGACCCGGUCACGUGAUCGGGAGAACCCGGAAGCUGACCAGGUUGCCGAGCAACAGAGGACAGAGAAGCCGGUGACGGAGCCCGGCAGACACAGGAGAAGAGAUACCCCUGAUGAAGUCUUUUGUAUAAGACGAAACGCGUUGGGUUGUCUGUGUUGUGAAGCUAUCUCCGAACCAACUAUAAGGAGAAGGAGAUUGUUGUGAUCCUUCAACAUUUGUAUUCAGCGCUAAGAGUCAUACAUCUUAAAGUGUGGAAUAAUAUAUCUCCUCUGUAUUAAUUUGAAUAUGUUUUUAAUAAAUGUUUUAUGAUGGAA